GACCUAACCCUUAUAGUUUUCACUCUAAGGCAUGGUUAAAAAGACGAGUAAAGCAUAAAAAACCCUCACGGGAUUGCUUUACUCGCCAUAUCGAGAAAUCGGUAUGCUCGCGCAAGCGGG
rnacentral:sRNA from 1 species